AACGAACGCUGGCGGCAUGCCUAACACAUGCAAGUCGAACGAGACCUUCGGGUCUAGUGGCGCACGGGUGCGUAACGCGUGGGAACCUGCCCUUAGGUUCGGAAUAACUCCCCGAAAGGGGUGCUAAUACCGGAUAAUGUCUUCGGACCAAAGAUUUAUCGCCUUUGGAUGGGCCCGCGUUGGAUUAGCUAGUUGGUAGGGUAAAAGCCUACCAAGGCGACGAUCCAUAGCUGGUCUGAGAGGAUGAUCAGCCACACUGGGACUGAGACACGGCCCAGACUCCUACGGGAGGCGGCAGUGGGGAAUAUUGGACAGUGGGCUAAAGCCUGAACCAGCAAUGCCGCGUGAGUGAUGAAGGCCUUAGGGUUGUAAAGCUCUUUUACCCGGGAUGAUAAUGACAGUACCGGGAGAAUAAGCUCCGGCUAACUCCGUG
rnacentral:rRNA from 1 species